ACCAAGAGGCCCCUGCUGCUGCAAGUGAUGGGGUAGCGGGGUCUGCAGCUUCAUGAAGGAUCAAAUCAGUGACAUGAUCAGACUGACACUAGUGGCUGGGCCUUCGCUAGCUGCCAAAAAAGCGCCCAACAAAAACCAAGCUGCAAUGAAUUGAAAAUAGCAAGAAAGCGGCAUUUGUUAGUUGACUCGACCGUCUUCAUGAAUCGGCCUUCAGAAAAGGAACGGGAGGGUGAUGUGACGAUUCAAAACUUCUAAGUUUGACUUGCGAAAAGAUGGAUUGUCGAUUCAUCCCUAAACACUGCACGAAUGUCUUCACGGGACCAGAAACACAUCAUCAUCUUUUGCCUCAGUGUUUUUCCUGCGACAUCCUGGAACUAUGCACCUGUACUGUUUACAAAUGUAACGGCCGCUCUUCGAGGCAAACAAUUAAAAACUCAGCUCCUUGUUGAAACUGCCUCAUCAUGGACUGUAGGCCUGCCAUCCCACCUGGAGAACAGAAGGACAGGGAAAGGAGUGUGAGAAAAGUCAGUAGGAACCAGGCACCGCUAAGCAGAAGAAGAAACCAAUUUACCAGCCACCCUGACAACUGUCAGUACUAUUCAUUUUAAAAGAAAUUCUGAAUUUAAUUGG